GACGAACGCUGGCGGCGUGCUUAACACAUGCAAGUCGAACGGAAAGGCCCUGCUUUUGUGGGGUGCUCGAGUGGCGAACGGGUGAGUAACAAGUGAGUAACCUGCCCUUGACUUUGGGAUAACUUCAGGAAACUGGGGCUAAUACCGGAUAGGAGCUCCUGCUGCAUGGUGGGGGUUGGAAAGUUUCGGCGGUUGGGGAUGGACUCGCGGCUUAUCAGCUUGUUGGUGGGGUAGUGGCUUACCAAGGCUUUGACGGGUAGCCGGCCUGAGAGGGUGACCGGCCACAUUGGGACUGAGAGACGGCCCAGACUCCUACGGGAGGCAGCAGUGGGGAAUAUUGCACAAUGGGCGGAAGCCUGAGGCAGCAACGCCGCGUGCGGGAUGACGGCCUUCGGGUUGUAAACCGCUUUCGCCUGUGACGAAGCGUGAGUGACGGUAAUGGGUAAAGAAGCACCGGCUAACUACGUG
rnacentral:rRNA from 1 species